GAAUUCGCCCUUAGAGUUUGACCCUGGCUCAGGACGAACGCUGGCGGCGCGCCUAACACAUGCAAGUCGAACGAGCAAGAGAGAGCUUGCUUUCUCGAGCGAGUGGCGAACGGGUGAGUAACGCGUGAGGAACCUGCCUCAAAGAGGGGGACAACAGUUGGAAACGACUGCUAAUACCGCAUAAGCCCACGGGUCGGCAUCGACCAGAGGGAAAAGGAGCAAUCCGCUUUGAGAUAGCCUCGCGUCCGAUUAGCUAGUUGGUGAGGUAACGGCCCACCAAGGCGACGAUCGGUAGCCGGACUGAGAGGUUGAACGGCCACAUUGGGACUGAGACACGGCCCAGACUCCUACGGGAGGCAGCAGUGGGGAAUAUUGCACAAUGGGGGAAACCCUGAUGCAGCGACGCCGCGUGGAGGAAGAAGGUCUUCGGAUUGUAAACUCCUGUUGUUGGGGAAGAUAAUGACGGUACCCAACAAGGAAGUGACGGCUAACUACGUGCCAGCAGCCGCGGUAAAACGUAGGUCACAAGCGUUGUCCGGAAUUACUGGGUGUAAAGGGAGCGCAGGCGGGAAGACAAGUUGGAAGUGAAAUCUAUGGGCUCAACCCAUAAACUGCUUUCAAAACUGUUUUUCUUGAGUAGUGCAGAGGUAGGCGGAAUUCCCGGUGUAGCGGUGGAAUGCGUAGAUAUCGGGAGGAACACCAGUGGCGAAGGCGGCCUACUGGGCACCAACUGACGCUGAGGCUCGAAAGUGUGGGUAGCAAACAGGAUUAGAUACCCUGGUAGUCCACACCGUAAACGAUGAUUACUAGGUGUUGGAGGAUUGACCCCUUCAGUGCCGCAGUUAACACAAUAAGUAAUCCACCUGGGGAGUACGACCGCAAGGUUGAAACUCAAAGGAAUUGACGGGGGCCCGCACAAGCAGUGGAGUAUGUGGUUUAAUUCGACGCAACGCGAAGAACCUUACCAAGUCUUGACAUCCCUUGACAGGCAUAGAAAUAUGUUUUCUCUUCGGAGCAAGGAGACAGGUGGUGCAUGGUUGUCGUCAGCUCGUGUCGUGAGAUGUUGGGUUAAGUCCCGCAACGAGCGCAACCCUUAUGGUCAGUUACUACGCAAGAGGACUCUGGCCAGACUGCCGUUGACAAAACGGAGGAAGGUGGGGAUGACGUCAAAUCAUCAUGCCCUUUAUGACUUGGGCUACACACGUACUACAAUGGCGUUAAACAAAGAGAAGCAAGACCGCGAGGUGGAGCAAAACUCAGAAACAACGUCCCAGUUCGGACUGCAGGCUGCAACUCGCCUGCACGAAGUCGGAAUUGCUAGUAAUCGUGGAUCAGCAUGCCACGGUGAAUACGUUCCCGGGCCUUGCACACACCGCCCGUCA
rnacentral:rRNA from 1 species